AUAGACACGGAGUGAAAGGUAAAGGUGAAAUUGCAUUUGUUACAACUGAUUUCUAUGGUGAUUCAUAUUUCGUUUAUUUUUUGAAAAACCUCAGCAAAUUUCAACUUUUAAAAAUGAAUUUACAUGGUGACAAUGUGCAAUUUGACAAAAUUAUGGAGCUUGAUUGCCUUGAUAUUGGUGUAUUCAAGAGUCUCUCCAUGUAUGCAGUUAUUGAUUUAUCACAAAAGGUCAACCUUUAUACUGGAAAGCAAAAGGUAGUGACACUAGAAUUGCCAAUCUUUUCAGCUGAUG
rnacentral:lncRNA from 1 species